GGGGAAUAUUGGACAAUGGGGGCAACCCUGAUCCAGCCAUGCCGCGUGAGUGAUGAAGGCCUUCGGGUUGUAAAGCUCUUUUGGCGGGGACGAUGAUGACGGUACCCGCAGAAUAAGCCCCGGCUAACUUCGCGCCAGCAGCCGCGGUAAGACGAAGGGGGCAAGCGUUGUUCGGAAUUACUGGGCGUAAAGGGCGCGUAGGCGGUUUGCUUAGUCAGGCGUGAAAGCCCUGGGCUUAACCUGGGAUGUGCGCUUGAUACUGGCAGGCUUGAGUGUGGGAGAGGUUGGUCGAAUUCCCAGUGUAGAGGUGAAAUUCGUAGAUAUUGGGAAGAACACCGGUGGCGAAGGCGGCCAACUGGACCACAACUGACGCUGAGGCGCGAAAGCGUGGGGAGCAAACA
rnacentral:rRNA from 1 species